rnacentral:rRNA from 1 species
GACGAACGCUGGCGGCGUGCUUAACACAUGCCAGUCGAACGGAAAGGCCUCUUUCGGGGGGUACUCGAGUGGCGAACGGGUGAGUAACACGUGAGUAACCUGCCCCUUACUCUGGGAUAUCUUCAGGAAACUGGGGCUAAUACCGGAUAUGAGCUCCUGCUCCAUGGUGGGGGUUGGAAAGUUUCGGCGGUUGGGGGUGGACUCGCGGCUUAUCAGCUUGUUGGUGGGGUAGUGGCUUACCAAGGCUUUGUCGGGUAGCCGGCCUGAGAGGGUGACCGGCCAAAAUGGGGCUGGGAUAAGGGCCAGGCUCCCACGGGGGGCAGGAGGGGGGAAUAUUGCACAAUGGGUGGAAGCCUGAUGCAGCAACGCCGGGUGCGGGAUGACGGGCUUCGGGUUGUAAACCGCUUUCGCUCAUGACGAAGCUUUGUGUGACGGUAGUGGGUAAAGAAGCACCGGCUAACUACGUG